rnacentral:rRNA from 1 species
AAUAUUCGACAAUGGGGGAAACCCUGAUCGAGCAAUGCCGCGUGAGUGAUGAAGGUCUUACGACUGUAAAACCCUGUUAUAGAGGAAGAACAACCAUUAUAGGUAAUGAUGAUGGUCUGACGGUACUCUAUCAGAAAGCCCCGGCUAACUACGUGCCAGCAGCCGCGGUAAUACGUAGGGGGCGAGCGUUAUCCGGAUUUAUUGGGCGUAAAGCGUGUGUAGGCGGUUUAUUAAGUUUAAGAUCAAAGCCCGGGGCUUAACUCCGGUUCGUCUUAGAAACUGGUAGACUUGAGUGUAGUAGAGGCAAGUGGAAUUUCUAGUGUAGCGGUUAAAUGCGUAGAUAUUAGAAGGAACACCAGUGGCGAAGGCGACUUGCUGGGCUAUUACUGACACUGAGGUGCGAAAGCGUGGGGAGCAAACAGG